GAUGGGAGGCCCAUUUCUAGGCCCAACUACCAAACGCAAUGCAGAAAAAAACGGUGUGAUGCAGUGAUGGUGGGCUUUGGAUCCAUCUCCUUCGCCGACCCAGUAGGUCAAUCGGCGCUUCUUAAAAUGAUGGGCGGUGAUGGAAAGAUGCGGAGUAGAAGAAACAAACGGCGCCUCAUCCUCCACGAGCUACGUUCCGAAGUCGCGUUCUGGCGUUGCGUUGUCGUCAUACUUCGGCCUUUUCUUUCGCUCCUUCUCUUUGUCAAUCAAGUUCUGGCACAGGUCAUACCGAUGUAUCCUUCCUUUUGAUCUCGCAUUCAAUCAUUCUUGUCGUGAUUCAAUGAAGCAAGUGUCCGACUAUCGAAUUUGAUCGUGCCGAAUUACAACGGCGUUACUAAAACGAGUUCAAAUGCGAUGAAAAGAAGAUGAAGAACGUACCGGUGAAGCGAUUUUGAAGCUCUGGAUUCAGUUUCUCUGAAAUAGAGAAAAGGUAAUGUGAUUCCUCCUCCAAUCUUCUUCUGAAACCUCUUGGGAUUGAGGUGGAUGUGAAAACCGAACCGUGCUUCGUGACUUCUCUCUCUGAGAUCUUUGAUAUGUUGUUCUUCGUAGUAGAGCUUGCGAUUAUUGGGCAUUGCCGAUCAAUAUUGCUUGAGAUGAAGAGUGAAGUGUUGGCGAUGAAGAUUGAUUCCAGGUUCUGGUGAUUGAUGGUGGUUGAAUAUGAAGAUCAAAGUUUGGAGUUUGAAGAUUCUGUUUAGUAUGAUCCAAUCCUCUUGCAGUGGGAAACUGAAUGAAUGUUUUAUAGCAGUGUGAAACGAGGAACUGGCACCACAACAUCUUCAAUCAUCCGCACAGGUCUUAUGCACAAGAAACCUCUUGGAGUCUCAUUCCAGACCGUCGAUGGUGAGUUAGUGAAUUAACCAGUAUAUUCCAAAAAGAAUUCUAUAGGAUUUCCAUCAACGGCUAAGGUUCGAAGAGUGAGGACCUGAUGUGCCAGAAAGCCGCUCAAACAUGGGAAUGAUAGCAUCCUCGAUACCAACUAUCUUUGUUGCAACGUUAUCAAACCCACCGGCCAUGGUUUUAGGAGAUGAGAGAAUGAGCACUGAAGGAACUGGUCCCUUCCCUUAGCAAUAAUCUUCUUGGUUGGAUCUUGUUUGGUGAGGGUUUCCUUUUGUUAUGGCAAGAUUAGAUUUCAAAAGGAAAAUGGAAGUCUUGAAUUACUGUCAUGACAAAGAGAGCAUACAACUUGUUUGGAUUCCUCAUAAUCAUGUUUAGCUUCUAAGUUACAUUCGUGACCACACCGAAAGUCGUCCUCAAUAAUUGAUUCAAUACCAUCCAUGAAGUUUAUCAUAUGAAUUUCCUGCAGGUGUUUUCUUUGUUUUGCAAGUUUAUUUAUGUUGUAGGUGGAUUAUGGUUGUUAGCAUUUUGGAUCAAUCCCUGCGUUUCGCGUUGGUUGCUUUGCACUGCAAUUGGCGUUUUGCUGCGUAGUCUUUGCCUUUCCAGCUGGUGUGGCUGGUACCGUUUGCAGCCCUUUUUUUUCAAUUGUUUCCUUUUUCUUUAUUUGGGUAUGAUUUGGGUAUGUACAAAUGGGCCUAAUUGGGCUUUGGGUUAUAUACAUGGAUAAAUGAAAAUCUGGAUGUGUAAAAGUGGAUUGUUGCUUGUGUUAUGAAUUAAUAUGUGGAUAUGGUUAUGGAUAUUUGGACGUGGAUAA